rnacentral:lncRNA from 1 species
UGUUUUCUUGUGAAAAAAAAUUCUGUAAUAGCCAGAAUGACCAAAAUGGAGUAACUUUCUGAAGGUGGACUUGCACAGUGUGCUGCAGCCUGACAGGAAAUAUAUUUGAUGCUACACAGUUUGGAAUUCCCAGCAUCUGUUGGGACUCAAAAUUAUCUGUUUUUUAUCUAUUUGUCUUAUUUUUAUACAUCUAUUUCUUUAUCGCAUGAUCUCCAAUAAAUUGCAUUUAGAAUGACACUUUAUAGAGUCUGAGUGUUUUUGUAGGGGUCGUAAGAGAUCUGCACCUUCUGCUACAAAAUGCUGUUCUUUUGAGGCUUAAAAUUUGAUGACACUUUUCAGCAUCACCGCUAGGAAUUUUGUGGAGGAGAAUGAUCUCAGAAAAGAGCAAAGAAGAUGACAAGAUAUCUGACACCAACAUGAGAACACUUAAAAGAUCGUUUAGUUCACAUGGUUAACAUGCAAACUUGAUUUUGAUUGCAGUUUCAUGAUGUGCAACAGGUAAGUUUGCCUACAAUUAUGGUACAGUAAACAGUCUCUCAGAAACCAUUCAACUUUCUCCCACAUAAAGAGAAAUGUGAAAAAUGAUGCAGACCUAUACUUUGCAAACAGAUGAAUAUCCACAGUUGUGGAAUUCAUGAAGUUCUUAUUAGAAUUCUGGAAACAAUAUGUGGAGAGAGUAUACAUCAAGGGGAAAAAAUCAUAAAAGACAAUACUCUUUUCAGUUAAGCAGCAAGAAAUAAAUCAUCUUUCUGAAGCAUAAAUGUGAUUACAGAACCCACAGGCAGUAUCUUUUGUAAACUUUAUGCAGUAAAAAAUGUUUGACUUCCUGAAAUAUACCUGUGAAAUCUAACAAAGCAGUUAGAUUUCAAGACGAAAACAGUUGGCAAGGAACAGAUGACUUGUAUUAUUUAUUAUCCCCAAGUACUUGAGUUCAUAAAACUCUCACAGCGAUUUGCAAGGAGGUACACUUUUUUAAUAGUACAGAAUGAAACAAUCCAUACUCUCCAAGGACAGACAUAUUACUGAGAGCUCAAAACAUUAGGAAUUUAAGGGAGAAAAGGGAGAGCUGUAGUAUGCUUUUGAAAACAAGAGGGAAUUCUUUUAGAUCUUAAAAUAAUAAAUAAGUAACAAUUAAUUUAAUUUCUGUACUUCUCUUCCAUUCUCGAUUGAAAACAGAGGCAAGCUGUUUACUGUCAAAAAUUUUACUUCCUAAAGUAACUGCAAAAAAAUAGAUAAUGAAUAGCAUGAGUCCAGACAAGGCAUAGAAGAACAGGUCUCAUAAUUCUUUAGAAAGCUUCUAAGAAGCUUUCUGAUAGCCGUGUGCAAAUGUACUAUGUUUUAUACUUCUACUUUUAUAUACU